rnacentral:tRNA from 1 species
GGGAGGGUGGCUGAGAGGUUGAAAGCGCUGGGCUUGAGUUCCAGAGACAAUAGUCCGUGGGUUCGAAUCCCACCCCUCUCA